CAAAGUAUCAAAGUUAUACCAAAAUAAUCAAUAAAUUAAUACUAAGAAUAGGGUAAAAUAUAUAGUAUAAUAUCGACUUAUCAAAUACCCCCAAACUUAGCUUUUUGCUUGUCCUCAAGCAAAACAAAACUCAAAAACAAAGAUAAAAACUAGCAAACUAGCAAACUUUAUUAAAACUCAACUAAGACAAAAUUUCACCUUCAAGUUGCAGUCCAUAGAAAAACGUUAAAAAUUAGAACAUCUUUCCAAAAGUUUCAACUAAUCCCACCACAGAGUCUAAGCCAUUUAGAAUCAAUUAGAAAAGAAUUCAUUAACUUCCUUUGUUGUAAAGUGAACC
rnacentral:lncRNA from 1 species